rnacentral:rRNA from 1 species
AUUGAACGCUGGCGGUAGGCCUAACACAUGCAAGUCGAACGGCGGCACAGUAAUAGCUUGCUGUUACAGCUGGCGACUGGCGGGCAGUGGUUGAGUACAUCGCUAUCUGCUUUUUCCUGGGUCUUGACGUGGAUGCUCUUACCGUAAUAGCCCUUACGGCCUACGCGUGAAAUCAUCGGAUCUUCCGAUCUUACAUGAGUCUAAGUCCGGAUGGCGAAUUAGCGGGUUGGCGGGGUAAAGGCCCACCAAGGCGACGAUCCGUAGCUGGUCUGAUAGGAUGAUCAGCAACACUGGAACUGAGACACGGUCCAGACUCCUACGGGAGGAAGAAGUGGGGAAUAUUGGACAAUGGGCGAAAGCCUGAUCCAGCAAGACCGCGUGGGUGAAGAAGGCCUUCGGGUUGUAAAGCCCUUUUGUUGGGAAAGAAAAGCAGCAGUUUAAUCCUACGCUGUUUGGACGGUACCCACAGAAUAAGCACCGGCUAACUUCGUG